rnacentral:lncRNA from 1 species
CUCGCCGAGGACGAAGAGGCUGGCGUGCCCGGUGGCUCGGCUAGCUCCCGGGUCCCGGCCCCGCCUGGAGGGUGGGUCCGCCGAUUACUCACUUUGUUUUUAGGGGAUUUCAGGGCCCCCUCCCGCCGAUCGGCGGAGUUUGGUGAUGUCACUCUGGGCCGGGUCUGGAGCAAAGCCAGGGCUACUGGGCUGCGGCCGCCCGCCCCGCGCAGGGAAAAGCCCGACCGGGCCUUCUGCUCCGCAGAGGCCGGGUGGUUGAACUCCGCGCGGGUUUCCUAACCGCUAAAGGUGCCUUUCGGUGGUGGCUGUCUCAGAAGCACGUUAAAAUGUCCUACCCACCCCAAUCUAGAUGCGGCUGUGGGGGAAUGGGAGCGGCCGGACCUCCCAGCCUGACAGUGCAUCAAGAGCUUUGCGGAGCCUACAGCCCGGAUGGGACGACUGAGGCCCUCCCGCUGGCGAGCUGGCCGAGGGCUCGUCCCUCUCCAGCUAAAGCGCCAGCUUACGAUACAGCCAAACUGCCGGCUCUCAUCGGCUGUGGGAGCAGGAGGCCCCCAGGGGUAAAUCCCGGAGCCUCGUCUCUGAAGCCUGGCGCUUGUGUCUCAGAAGAUGGAGUUCCUCUCUUGUGGCCCAGGCUGGAGUGCAAUAGCACCAUCUCGGCUCACUGCAACCUCUGCCUCCCAGGUUCAAGUGAUUCUCCUGCCUUAGCCUCCUGAGUAGCUAGGAUUACAGAUUUAUAGGAGCAUUGUGACUGGACCAAGGACAAAGAAGUUCCCAACCUCCUCAGACCCUCGCUGCUGCCCAGAUGUCUGCCAUGGGGUACUUCUUGACCACACCCUCCUUCUCUUCCCUGCCCUUAACAUAGAAAGAGCCUAAGAUUGUACUGACUUAAAAUGGUACUUUAGAACGCUAGUACACCGUCCUCUCAGUCUUGCUGGCUUUCAGAAUAAAUCAGUAAACCUA